AGGGCCAUAGCUCAGUGGCAGAGCAUUUCCUUUGCGUGCAGAAGGUCCCAGGUUUGAUCCCUGCUGGCAUUU